AGUAAAUAGAUACCCUGGUAGUCCACGCCGUAAACGAUGUCGACUUGGAGGUUGUGCCCUUGAGGCGUGGCUUCCGGAGCUAAACGCGUUAAGUCGACCGCCUGGGGAGUACGGCCGCAAGGUUAAAACUCAAAUGAAUUGACGGGGGCCCGCACAAGCGGUGGAGCAUGUGGUUUAAUUCGAUGCAACGCGAAGAACCUUACCUACUCUUGACAUCCAGAGAACUUAGCAGAGAUGCUUUGGUGCCUUCGGGAACUCUGAGACAGGUGCUGCAUGGCUGUCGUCAGCUCGUGUUGUGAAAUGUUGGGUUAAGUCCCGCAACGAGCGCAACCCUUAUCCUUUGUUGCCAGCGGUUAGGCCGGGAACUCAAAGGAGACUGCCAGGGAUAAACUGGAGGAAGGUGGGGAUGACGUCAAGUCAUCAUGGCCCUUACGAGUAGGGCUACACACGUGCUACAAUGGCGCAUACAAAGAGAAGCGACCUCGCGAGAGCAAGCGGACCUCAUAAAGUGCGUCGUAGUCCGG
rnacentral:rRNA from 1 species